rnacentral:tRNA from 1 species
GGAGAGAUGUCCGAGCGGUUUAUGGAGCUGGUCUUGAAAACCAGUGACCCGAAAGGGCCGGGGGUUCGAAUCCCUCUCUCUCCGCCA